UGGGGAAUAUUGGACAAUGGGCGCAAGCCUGAUCCAGCCAUGCCGCGUGAGUGAUGAAGGCCCUAGGGUUGUAAAGCUCUUUCACCGGUGAAGAUAAUGACGGUAACCGGAGAAGAAGCCCCGGCUAACUUCGUGCCAGCAGCCGCGGUAAUACGAAGGGGGCUAGCGUUGUUCGGAUUUACUGGGCGUAAAGCGCACGUAGGCGGACUUUUAAGUCAGGGGUGAAAUCCCGGGGCUCAACCCCGGAACUGCCUUUGAUACUGGAAGUCUUGAGUAUGGUAGGGGUGAGUGGAAUUCCGAGUGUAGAGGUGAAAUUCGUAGAUAUUCGGAGGAACACCAGUGGCGGAGGCGGCUCACUGAACCAUUACUGACGCUGAGGUGCGAAAGCGGGGGGAGCAAACAGG
rnacentral:rRNA from 1 species